rnacentral:rRNA from 1 species
UUGGAGGGCAAGUCUGGUGCCAGCAGCCGCGGUAAUUCCAGCUCCAAUAGCGUAUAUUAAAGUUGUUGCAGUUAAAAAGCUCGUAGUUGAAUUUCGGGAUCAAUAUAUCGGUCGUGCCAUUGGUACGUACUGGUAUCAUUGGUUUCUCCUUUCUGACGAGCCAUGAUGUCAUUAAUUUGGUGUUAUGGGAAGUUAGGACUGUUACUUUGAAAAAAUUAGAGUGUUUAAAGCAGGCUUUAGCUUGAAUACAUUAGCAUGGAAUAAUGAAAUGGACGUUCGAACCUAUUUUGUUGGUUUCUAGGAUCAACGUAAUGAUUAAUAGGGAUAGUUGGGGGCAUUAGUAUUCAAUUGUCAGAGGUGAAAUUCUUGGAUUUAUUGAAGACUAACUACUGCGAAAGCAUUUGCCAAGGAUGUUUUCAUUAAUCAAGAACGAAAGUUAGGGGAUCGAAGACGAUCAGAUACCGUCGUAGUCUUAACCAUAAACUAUGCCGACUAGGGAUCGGAUGAUGUUAAUUUUUUAAUGACUCAUUCGGCGCCUUACGGGAAAC